GGCGCUAUAGCCAAGUGGUUACGGCGACAGAUUUGAAUUGUCGUAAUAUUCAGGGAUACACAAUAUCUGUUCCUCUUUGAGGGCGUAGGUUCAAAUCCUGCUGGCGUCG